CCGUGCUAGCCGGGGAGGCAGCGGUGCCCUGUACUCACAAUCCGCUAUAGUGAGGGUGAUGUCUGUUCUAGGUGCAGUGUUUGAUAGUCUGCCCGUGGGAAGCGGCGUUGAUGCUCAGGUCUUACGCAACAGGAGCCUGCGAACCGUGUCAGGGUCGGAAGGCAGCAGCACUAAGCAGUUCCCUUCUGUGUGCUGUAAGAGUGCCAGAGUGGAGUCGCAGAACACGGUAACGUGUCGGGCGGUGUAACAAAAACAGAUGCACGG
rnacentral:SRP_RNA from 1 species